ensembl:snRNA U6 U6 spliceosomal RNA
GUGCUUGCUUCAGCAGCACAUAUAGUAGAACUGGAAAAACACAGAGAAUAUUAGCACGACUCCUGUGCAAGGGUGACGUGCAAACUCAUGAACCCUCCAUAUUUUG